rnacentral:rRNA from 1 species
UACAGAGGGUGCGAGCGUUAAUCGGAAUUACUGGGCGUAAAGCGUGCGCAGACGGUUGCGUAAGUCAGAUGUGAAAGCCCCGGGCUCAACCUGGGAAUAGCAUUUGGGACUGGUCGGCUAGAGUUCGGGAGAGGAGAGUGGAAUUCCCAGUGUAGAGGUGAAAUUCGUAGAUAUUGGGAAGAACACCGGUGGCGAAGGCGGCUCUCUGGACCGACACUGACGCUGAGGCGCGAAAGCGUGGGGAGCAAACAGG